AAACCAUGGUGAUGGCAUCUUCAUUGUAACUCCUGAUAGCGCUCCCAAGCCUCAUACAAUAUCUUUCUUUCCUGUUGACAAAAACUAGUUAUAUCCAUGCGAAAUUU